rnacentral:rRNA from 1 species
UCUUGGUCAAUUUAGAGGAAGUAAAAGUCGUAACAAGGUUUCCGUAGGUGAACCUGCGGAAGGAUCAUUACUGAACUGUCAACACGAGUUGUUGCUGGUCCUCAAAUGGGGGCAUGUGCACGCUCUGUUUACACAUCCACUCACACCUGUGCACCUUCUGUAGUUCUGUGGUAUGGGGGAUCUAGUCCUCCUGCUGUGGUUCUACGUCUUUACACACGCUCUGUAAUAAAGUCUUAUGGAAUGUAUACCGCGUUUAACGCAAUACAAUACAACUUUCAGCAACGGAUCUCUUGGCUCUCGCAUCGAUGAAGAACGCAGCGAAAUGCGAUAAGUAAUGUGAAUUGCAGAAUUCAGUGAAUCAUCGAAUCUUUGAACGCACCUUGCGCCCUUUGGCUAUUCCGAAGGGCAUGCCUGUUUGAGUAUCAUGAAAACCUCAACUCUCACAGCUUGCUGUGAUGAGCUUGGACUUUGGGGGUCUUGCUGGCUCAUCGUCAGCUCCCCUUAAAUUGAUUAGCUUUCCAGUGUUUGGUGGCAUCCACAGGUGUGAUAACUAUCUACGCUUGCGGUUUUCCAUCAGGUAACCCUCAGCUAUGGGGGUUCACCGGGGCUCAUAAAGGUCACUCCUCAGUGAGGACAGCUUUUGAACGUUUGAUCUCAAAUCAGGUAGGACUACCCGCUGAACUUAAGCAUAUCAAUAAGCGGAGGAAA